AAUAAAUUUUAGCAUUCAAUUGAAAAAGGAGGGAAGGGAGCGAGCGAGCGAGAGAGAGAGAGAGAGGGCUUAGAGAGGGUUUCAAUGGCGAAGAACUUAUCAAGUCUAGUGCACGAACUUCGAGAAAGAAUAGCAGCUUCAUCAUCCACACCGCCACUCAACCGAACCGGAGGCGAUGAUCAAAACGACGACGCUUUGGAAAUUAGGUUCCGCGCUGUCAUCCCCAAUCUCCUCCACACUUAUGUCGUUCCUUCUUCCACCGCCAAUGAUAGAGAAGUAACUGCAAUUUUGAAGCUGUUGACAUAUACUGCUAACAACAUUCCCGGAGUUUAUUUCCAUGGAAAUUCUGCUGCUGUCUUACCUAUCAUUUGUCGCAUAUUGCCUUUCUUCGCCGAGCCUUCCUUCUGCUCUCGCCAUGGAGUGAUUUUUGAAACAGUUGGAUCCCUUUUAUCCUUGCUGCGUACUGGAGACCGGGAUAUGUUUCGUCAAUUCUUUAUGGACACCAUGUUGGUAAUUGAAGACUUGCAAUAUGUAGCUUCCCAGUCUGAUCUUGCUAGCCAUUCAAACUCUAGCAAAGUAUCUCUGAAGUGUUUCUGUGAAUCGCUUGGUGGUAUCUCGAGUACUGCUCUUCUCAGUGAUAUUCCAGCAUGCAGCAAGCCUACCACUGGCUAUGGUAUUUUGAUCAACCUGACAGGCAGAAGCAGGUGGCAGCCUUUUGCUAUUUGGACAAUUAAGCUUCUCUCUAAAUUUUUGACUGAAGGAACACUAUAUGUUGAAGGACUCAUCAACACUUCAUGUGUUGUGGCUGCAUGUACUCUUUUGUGCUAUGGAAAUGGUGAUUUGCAAAUGGCAUGCUUUGACUUCACACGUGUUAUUGGAGCAGUUCUGAAUUCUGAGAUGGUUCCUAGUGAAAAAAUAAUUAGGUCAAUAUCUACUAUAUUAAGUGAACACGAGGAGUUACCCUGGGUUUUCAGAAAUACAAGUUAUGAUUCCUCACUUGGAGAAUGCCUUAAUGCACUUCAUUCGAUUUGUCCUGAUGAUGUUGUCAAGCUGACUGCUACGGAUUUUGUCAAUGUCUUUGCUGUAUCUAUGCAGAAAACAAGAAGUCCUGAGUUAAAGGCUGCAUUGUGCAGUGCAUAUGUUCGAAUUGCAAAAAGUUGCCCCCCUCACAUCUGGAGGCCUGAGACUCUCCUUGAUAUGAUUUGUUCCUCAAAGCCCUCUUUUGUAUUCAUAGAGUGCUUUCAGGUUGCCCUAUCUACCCUUGUUCCUGAUCUUCUUACCGAAGUAACAAAAAACAAUGGCAGUGUGGACCAUUCACAUUUAGCCAACAACAAAUUUGAAGUAUUGAGGGUUGGAGAGAAAAGGUCUUGUCAGGCUGCCGAAGUUCUUAAAGCAAAGCGCCGUAAAAAAACUGAAGUAUUCAUCGAAUGCACUUCCGACUUUCAGGAUAUGGGCAAACUUAACUGUAUAACAUCUGAACGUGAAAAGGAAUACGCCAAUUACUUGCGCAGCUCACUAGUUUCGUUUCUUGAACGGCUACAACCUCCUGAUGACAAAACCACUUUCUUAGCGCCAGAUAUUGCUUUAAUGGCUCUUAGCACAAUUUGCAUCGUUUUCUGUGGAUAUGUCCCCACCGAAUUUUCAAGAUGCAUGCUUGUGCAUAUGCGUGGUUGGAUUUCCUGGGUCUGUGAGCAGGCGAGACAAGGACUUUCCAUCACACUUGAGUUAUCUAUCUUCCUCGAGGCAAUUCACUGUGUACUACUUACAGAACGUUUUUUUUCCAUGGAGAACAAACUUUUCCAAAAUGAGAAUAGUGCUGCAGAAUUCAUGCAAUAUGUCCUAAAGCUUCCAUGGACCAAUUCUUUUGGAAUAACUGAUCAGCACCUACAAUGGAAGGCAAAGUGUUUGUCUCUUCAAGUUGUGUCUAAGAUGGUCUCUUUGUCACAAAGUGGCAGUAAUCUUGAAGUACUGGAUUUGGGCCUUCGUGAUGAAGCCGAAGUAGUCAGGAUGGAAGCCAUUAUUGCUAUGCCGGUGAUUGUCUUCUGGUCUGGUUCUGGAAUGCUGACACAUAUAUUGAAAAGGAUGGGGUACCUGGAGAGAGAGCAUAAUGAGCAGAUAAGGAAAAUCAUUCCACAUUGCAUGGGUUAUCUGGCAUGCCUUUGUGGAUCUUGUACUGGAGUUGGUCUUUGCGAGUCUGAGUGCAAAUUAUUCCUGAAAAUUAAUAAUGAGAAGCUCAACUGGUCACUAGAUCACCUCAUGCGAGGAUUUUGGUGCUCGAAGUGCGAUCAGAGUGUUGCAAAUAGUAUUGGGUUACAUUCGUUAGAUAUGCACCAUCAUAAAAUUCUAGGUUUGCAGUUGGAUUUAAAUACUGAUUAUGUACAGCUUCUGUCCAUUUUUUUUGAUCUUCUAUAUGACAAUUCAUCAGAAGAGGUUCAAAUUUCAUGUGUUGAAAUGAUUCGACGGGUCCUUGCACAUGGGACCACCGAAGUUCUUCUUGAAACUAGGUCUGUUUGGAUAAAAUGCAUCGACUUUCUACUCUUUCACAGAAAUAAGGCUGUGAGAGACGCAUUUAAUCCUCAAAUUGGCUUCUUCCUUGAGGAUCGUAUUUUAAAUUGUUUGUUUUUAGAUGAAGAAACAGGAGAAAAAACUAAAGAACAGAAGUUUCUAGACAAGAUAAAGCAUGCGCUGGCAGCAGCAGAUGAUCCCCAUUUGUAUGAUACUCUUCUUGAGGCCACUUCCGAGAUCAUGAAUACAGUUGAUACAAACAAUCAACUCUUCUUGUUCUCUCUUAUUUUGUUGGUUGAUCAACUUGAUAAUCCACAUGUGACUGUGAGAAUGACUGCCUCGAGAUUGAUACACAGAUCUUGUUCUUUCCAUUUUAAAGGAGGGUUAGAAGUAAUCCUUAACAAAGUUGCUUAUAUUCGAGAUGAGCUAUAUGACUACCUCUGUAUUAGGCUUACAACUCGACCAGAAAUAGUCAAUGAAUUCGCUGUUUCUGUUCUUAGUGUGGAGAUGAAUGAACUUGUUAAAAGACUAAUACCUGUUGUUCUUCCGAAGCUUAUCACGAUUCAGCACAGUAACGAUCUUCAAGUUGUUACCUUAAAUAAUUUGGCUAAGUGUUUGGACACAGAUAUAGACAUGGUGAAACUUAUAGUUGACUGGAUACCAAAGGUGCUUGCUUUUGCUCUUCAUCAAGCAGAUAGACGAGUGUUGGAAUCCGCUUUGCUGUUUUACCACGAGCAUGCUAAAUCAGAUAAGCAGGAAAUUUUUGCAGCUGCAUUGCCUGCACUUUUAGAUGAACUGGUAUGCUUUGUGGAUCAGGGUGAUUCAGAUGAAACAAGCAAAAGGCUGUCUAGGGUUCCUCAGGUGAUAAAAGAAGUCGCAAGAAUCCUAACUGGUACUGAUGAUGAUCUUCCAGGCUUCCUGAGAAAUCAUUUUGCUGGUCUUCUCAACAGAAUCAGUAGAAAAAUGCUUCAUUCAGAAGAUAUCUCAUUGCAGAUCCAAGCCAUGAAACGAAUUGAAAUGCUGAUAGGCAUGAUGGGUGCCCACCUGAGCACUUAUGUGCCAAAACUGAUGGUUCUUCUCAUGCAUGCCGUUGAUAAAGAAUCACUCCAGAAUGAAGGUCUUGCUGUUUUACAUUUCUUCAUAAAGCAAUUAGGAAAGGUGUCACCAUCAAGUACUCAACAUGUAAUAUCUCAAGUGUUUGCUGCCCUUACUCCUUUCUUGGAGAAAGAUAAAGAAAAUUCAUCUUCACAUAUGAAUAAAAUUGUGGAAAUAUUAGAAGAACUCGUGUUUGAAAAUAGAUCGAUCUUAAAGCAGCAUAUUCGCGAGUUCACACUUCUGCCCAGAAUUUCCGCCCUUGCAAGAGUAAACAAAGUAAUAGAAGAAGUACGCGGGGUAAUCACUUUGAAAGAUCAGUUGCUAGAUGUUGUUGAGGGGCUAAAUCACGAGAAUUUGAAUGUCAGGUAUAUGGUAGCAUGUGAACUGAGCAAACUGCUGAACCUGAGAAGGGAAGAAGUCACAGCUGUUGUCACUGGGGAAGGGGAUUCAGAUAUGGAUGUUUUGAGCUCAUUGAUUGCCUCUCUUCUUAGAGGAUGUGCUGAGGAAUCAAGGACUUCUGUUGGACAGCGUUUGAAAUUGGUCUGUGCAGAUUGCCUUGGAGCACUUGGUGCAGUUGAUCCUGCCAAAGUAAAGGGUUUUUCAAGCCAGCGUUUCAAAAUUGCAUGUUCAGAUGAUGACUUGAUCUUUGAGUUGAUUCACAAGCACUUAGCCAGGGCUUUUAGAGCUGCACCCGACACCAAUAUUCAGGACUCAGCUGCACUGGCAAUACAAGAGUUGCUAAAAAUGGCAGGUUGUGAAGCAUCCCUUGAUGAAAAUGUUGCAGCGUCUACAUUGCAGACAGUCAAGGAUAAACAAUCAUCGAAGAUUCCUGUAUUUAGAGUCGGGACCAACAGUGCUUCUAGUAAAAUGAAUGGGAGGGGUCAGAUACUUUGGGACCGUUUUUCUAAUUAUGUCAAAGAGAUUAUAGCCCCUUGUUUAACAUCAAAAUAUCAUCUGCCAAAUGUGGCAGAUUCAGCCGUUGUUGGUCCUAUUUAUCGGGCUUCAAUGUCGUUUAGAACAUGGAUUUAUCUUUGGAUAAAGAAGCUCACUGUCCAUGCAACUGGUUCGCGGUCUUGUAUCUUUACUGCAUGUCGAGGAAUCAUACGCCAUGAUGUGCAAACAGCAACAUAUCUGUUGCCAUAUUUAGUCCUUAAUGCUGUCUGCCAUGGUAACGAGGAGGCACGACAUGGCAUAACAGAGGAGAUCUUAUGUGUUCUAGAUUCAGCUGCUUCAGGAAAUAAUGCCGCCGCUGUUCCUAGAAUCAGUUCCGGAAAGAGUGAAGUUUGUAUUCAAGCUGUCUUUACACUUCUAGAUAGUCUUGGCCAGUGGAUGGAUGACGUCGAACAAGAACUCGCUCUUUCACAGUCUCUGCAAGUAUCCACUUCUAAGCAACAGGUUUCUAAGUUGAAGGAUCAAAGUAAAGAUCCUUCAUCUAAUCCGGACCAGUUAUUAGUGCAGUGUAGAUAUGUCUCAGAGCUCUUGGCUGCCAUUCCUAAGGUAACCCUUGCAAAGGCCUCCUUCAAGUGUCAAGCUUAUGCAAGGUCCUUACUAUACUUUGAAUCUCAUGUUCGGGAAAAGUCAGGAUCUUUUAAUCCAGCUGCAGAAAGGGGUGGCGUAUUCGAAGAUGAAGAUGUUUCAUACCUAAUGGAAAUAUACAGCGGUUUGGAUGAGCCUGAUGGCUUAUCUGGUUUGGCAUGUCUACGUAAGUCUAAGAGCUUACAAGACCAGCUCGCAAUAAAUAAAAAAGCAGGUAACUGGGCUGAAGUAUUGACUUCCUGUGAGCAGGCUCUGCAGAUGGAACCCAAAUCUGUUCAAAGGCAUUCAGAUGUCCUCAAUUGUUUAUUGAACAUGUGUCAUUUGCAGGCUGUUGUGACUCAUGUGGAUGGAUUAAUAUCUAGGAUACCCCAGUACAAGAAAACAUGGUGUAUGCAAGGUGUUCAGGCAGCAUGGAGACUUGGCAUGUGGGAUUUGAUGGAUGAGUUUCUUGACGGGGCUAAUGAAGAAGGUCUAGUCUGUAGCAGCUCCGAAAGCAAUGCAUCUUUCGACAUGGAUGUCGCGAAAAUUCUUCAGGCACUUAUGAGAAAAGACCAAUUCUCUGUUGUUGAGAAGAUUGCCAUGUCAAAACAAGCUCUGAUAGCUCCUCUAGCUGCUGCAGGCAUGGAUUCUUAUACGCGGGCAUACCCGUUCAUCGUGAAGCUGCACAUGCUGCACGAACUAGAGGAUUUCCACAGUUUACUUGAAGGUGAUUCUUUUAGGAAUAAAUUGUUCCAUGUUAGUGAACCCGAGUUUGCUAAAAGAAUGGCAAACUGGGAUAGUCGCCUCAGAUAUACCCAACCAUCUAUCUGGGCAAGGGAGCCACUUCUGGCUUUUCGCAGACUGGUUUUUGGUGCUAGCAGGCUUGGUUCUCAAGUUGGCAACUGCUGGCUACAGUAUGCAAAGCUUUGUCGCUCGGCUGGACAUUAUGAGACGGCAAAUCGAGCAAUUUUAGAAGCAAAGGCAUUAGGUUCACCAAAUGUUCAUAUGGAAAAGGCAAAACUUAUGUGGAGCACUAGGCAAUCUGACAGUGCCAUUGCGGAGCUUCAACAGUCACUUCUAAACAUGCCCAUGGAGGUUGUAGGUUCUGUCACAAUAUCUUCCAUCACCAGCCAUUCACUGAUUCCUCUAAAUAUAUCCCGUAUGCCGCCAUGCAGUACCCAAGUUACGAACGAGAAUCUGGAUAUUGCAAAGACUCUCCUCCUUUAUUCAAGGUGGACACAUUAUACCGGGCAGAAGCAGAAGGAAGAUGUGAUAAACCUGUAUGCUAGAGUGAGGGAACUGCAACCAAAAUGGGAGAAGGGGUACUUCUAUCUGGCAAAGUACUAUGAUGAGGUGCUUGUUGAUGCUAGAAAGAGGCAAGAAGAGAAUUCAGAGUUGGGAACAAAAGCCAUCCUAUCGGCUGGGAGUUCAAAUACUGAGAAGCUGUGGUGGUCUUACCUUCCUGAUACACUGAUAUGUUAUGCAAAGGGACUCCAUAGAGGCCACCGGAAUCUCUUUCAAGCCCUUCCAAGGUUGUUGACUUUGUGGUUUGAUUUUGGCAGCAUUUAUCAGAGGAGUGGCUCAUCAUCCAGUAAAGACAUGAAAAAUGUCAAUGGGAAAUUAUUAGGUAUCAUGAGAGGGUGUUUGAAUGAUUUGCCAACCUAUCAAUGGCUGACAGUGCUGCCUCAACUAGUUUCUAGAAUUUGCCACCAAAAUGAUGAGAUUGUUAGAUUGGUCAAACGGAUCAUCACUUCUGUUCUUAAACAAUUUCCUCAGCAAGCUUUGUGGAUAAUGGCAGCAGUUUCAAAAUCUACUGUUUCUUCUAGAAGAGAGGCAGCUGCAGCAAUAAUGCAAGAGGCACGUAAAGAUUUUCCUCUUGUAGAUGGAAAGACAUUGUUUGUGCAGUUUGCCUCUUUAAUCGAUCAUCUUAUCCGAUUGUGCUUCCAUGCGGGUCAAUCGAAGUCGAGGGUGAUUAACAUUUCGACCGAAUUUAGUUCACUGAAAAGGAUGAUGCCAUUAGAGAUCAUUAUGCCUCUUCAACAAUCACUUACAGUUAGUCUUCCCACUUAUGAACCAAAAAUGACCAGCUCACUUACAUCCUGCAUUUUUUCAUCAGAUCUUCCUACAAUAUUGGGAAUAGCUGACGAGGCUGAGAUUCUCUCAUCACUUCAGAGGCCGAAAAAGAUUGUUCUUCUGGGCAGCGACGGUAUCGAACGUCCUUUUCUCUGUAAACCAAAGGAUGAUCUUAGGAAAGAUGCCCGUAUGAUGGAAUUCAAUGCAAUGAUAAAUCGUUUAUUAUCCAAAUCCCCUGAAAGUCGCCGAAGAAAGCUCUACAUUCGCACAUUUGCAGUGAUACCACUUACAGAAGAUUGUGGUAUGGUGGAAUGGGUGCCUCACACUCGUGGGCUCCGUCAUAUACUCCAGGACAUUUAUAUAAGCUGUGGAAAGUUUGAUAGGCAGAAAACGAAUCCUCAAAUUAAGCGCAUUUAUGAUCAAUGCCAAGGCAAAAUCUCGGAGGAUGAAAUGCUAAAGAAAAAAAUUCUUCCAAUGUUCCCUCCAGUUUUCCACAAAUGGUUUCUGAACACAUUUUCUGAACCAGCAGCUUGGUUUCGUGCUCGGGUUGCUUAUGCACAGACUACUGCAGUUUGGUCAAUGGUUGGACAUAUAGUGGGCUUAGGAGAUCGACAUGGUGAGAAUAUUCUUUUUGAUUCUACAACUGGUGACUGUGUUCAUGUUGAUUUCAGUUGCUUGUUUGACAAAGGCUUACAGUUGGAGAAACCUGAGCUGGUGCCUUUUAGGCUUACUCAGAACAUGAUUGAUGGCUUGGGGAUUACUGGAUAUGAGGGCAUCUUCCUGAAAGUCUGUGAGAUCACACUUUCUAUACUACGGACACAUAGAGAAACUCUGAUGAGUGUUCUUGAAACAUUUAUUCAUGAUCCGUUGGUUGAAUGGACCAAGUCACACAAGUCCAGCGGGGUGGAAGUUCAGAACCCCCAUGCACAGAGGGCUAUCAGUAAUAUUGAGGCACGGCUACAAGGAGUAGUUGUUGGUGUUAGAGCAGCACCAUCUUUGCCACUUGCAGUAGAAGGCCAGGCUCGUCGCUUGAUUGCUGAAGCAGUGGCACACGAAAAUCUUGGGAAGAUGUAUAUUUGGUGGAUGCCUUGGUUUUGACUUUUGAAACUCCAAACUAGUUGCCAUUUCUUUCAUAUGAGAAUUACGCAGGCAUGCUAUUGACAUAUUCUGCUGGUGGCCGGGUUAAUUUAUCAACAGCUUGCGCAACCUGCUCGAAACUGGUUGAUUGACACAAACAGUUCAAAACAUUAUUUCUUAUUAACUUCUGUUGCUGCUGGGUUCCUUGUGCCUAUCAGGAAAUACAUGUAGUUUUUGGUCAAUCUCUCAGCAUAUAAAUGAGGCUUUAGGUUUAUUAAAGAAGCGGUGCUGCUGUAUGAAAUUGAAGAUAAAUCAUUUUCUGAAUGAUAUGCUGGCGCAGAAAUCAUACUCACCAUCUACAUCAUUUGUUAUGGCCGUGUAUCGGUAUCGCCUUCAGUUUAUUAGGGAAUGGUCGAAAUUCACUCUAUAUGCUCGUCUCGCAGCGUUCUGGAAUUCCCUACAUCUGAAGCUUUUCAAAGGCGGUAUUCAAAAAUUCAGUCAAGGCAGGAAUAUUACUGUUUUGCUUUUUAGUUAUCAUGCCUGCUGUUUGCAGGAUUUGCUAAAGAAAAUGAAAAUGAGGAAGCUUGCCAGUAUAUAUUAUCGUUCAAGCCCAUGAAUUUUGGCCUUAAUUCCGGAACACAAAUUAUUCAUCCAAUGCCACUCUAAUACUCUAUGACACAUUUUUAUCUAUGAAGAAUCUGAGUGAGAGCAAAAUAGAUGAAAUUUUGAAGCGGAGCAUGAUGAUUACGAAGCGGAAGUACAAUAGAUGGACAUUUGAACCGGCAGAGCCCCUGAAGCAUGUACUAGGGCUGAGCAAAAAACCGAAAAAAACCCGAACCGAAACCGAAACCGGCAAAAACCGGUAAAAACCGAGCCGAAACAAACCGAGCCGAAACCGAAACCGAAAACUAAAAAACCGAACCGAGUUCAUGGGUUUGGUUCCGGUUAUUAGUAAAAACCGAACCGGAAAAAACCGAACCGAUAAUUUAAAUAAUAUAAAUAUUUAUAAUAUUAUAUAUAUAUAUAUAUAUAUAUAUAUAUAUAUAUAUAUAAAUUUAGGGCUGUCAAACGGAUAAUUCGGAUACGGAUAUGCCUAUAUCCGUAUCCGUAUCCGUAAUGGCCGGAUUCAGAUACGGAUAAUAUCCGCAUUAUUUCGGAUACGGAUAAUAUCCGCUUUUUCUCGGAUACGGAUGCGAAUAUUUCGGACGGAUGUCGGAUAUUUUUGAUGACUCUACCGUAUUAAAGAUGAUUUUCAAACAAUUUUUUGAUGACUAAGCUCUAAUAAUAUUUUUAUAUAUGUAUAAAGUGUUUGAGUAUUUGUACAAUUAUAUAAAAAUUAUGUAAAUGUAUUAUUUAAUGCAUAUACACACAAUACAAGCUAAAUAAAAUAAAAUUUUAAUUACAUAUACUUAUAUAUUAUAUAAUUUAAAUAUCAUAUAUGUAUUUAAUUUCGGAUUCGAAUAUCACGGAUUCGGAUACGGAUAAUAUCCGCUUUAUUUCGGAUACGAAUAAUAUCCGCUUUUUCUCGGAUACGGUUGCGGAUUUUUCGGACGGAUAUCGGAUCUUUCGAAUUUUUUUGACAGCCCUAUAUAUAAUUUAUAAGAAAUUUUUUAUUUAAAAUUAUUUAAAUAUAUAUAUGAUAUUUAUAAUUUGGGCCAGUGUUAAUUGAUUGUUGCAUAAAAUAUACAGUCCACUGUCCAGUGACUCCGGUCUAGACUCCACAAUCCAUAUACUGAUACAGAAGCUGUCCUGAUGAUUUAAAAUGAAACAUUGGAUCUAUUGCUAUGCUUUUGUGCUGGAUAUUUAUAAGCAUGUGUUUUAAGAUGUGUAAUUAGUUAUCUCAACGACUUAACUUCACUGGUUUAGGAGAUGAUAAUCUCUCCCUUUCAGAUUAGCAGCAGUCCAUUUUGACUUCUUUUGUUUGUUACAAAAUUGAUCAAACAGGUCACAGGUGCAUCAAAAGUGUGUAAUUGUUCCCCAACUAGUAACUGCAGAGUCUGCAGUGGUAUUAAUGUAAAUCCACUGUUUAUUAAUUAUGUUUCUAGAUUGCGCGGUUCAAUUUGUCCCCAUAUUAUUUGUCAAUUUUGUAGUUGUCGGUUUUGUAACCGAAACCGAUCCGAUUAUAACCGAACCGGCUUUUUUAAACCGGAACCGGAACCGAACCGGCGGUUGCGGUUUUCGAUUUUAAAAACCGAGGAUAUACGGUUGCGGUUCCGGUUUUAUCCCGAAACCGAGCCGAACCAGCCCAUGCUCUCCCCUAGCAUGUACCCACAGGCCACAUGUGGCUUUCUUUAGUGCCUAGGCUAAAUGAGAUAUGUACCCCCAUUUUCUUUUGUCUUCGUUUCCAGUAUGAGUACUACUAGAAUAUAUGCUGCUUUGGUUCUUUGAACCUUCAGCACAAUAGCACAUACAAAACACAAGGAAUGGUGUUAAAGAACUCAUGGCAAAUGCCUAGUAGUACAAGUUUUCAUCAAAAUAUGUACAUGUACUGCUCAAUUCCUAAAUUAAACUCGAAUUAACUGAAUAUAUUAUAAGUGAAUAUAUUAUUAA